UAAAUUUAGAGUUUGAUCCUGGCUCAGGACGAACGCUGGCGGCGUGCUUAACACAUGCAAGUCGAGCGAUGAAACUUCCUUCGGGAAGUGGAUUAGCGGCGGACGGGUGAGUAACACGUGGGUAACCUGCCUCAAAGUGGGGGAUAGCCUUCCGAAAGGAAGAUUAAUACCGCAUAAUAUAAGAGAAUCGUAUGGUUUUCUUAUCAAAGAUUUAUUGCUUUGAGAUGGACCCGCGGCGCAUUAGCUAGUUGGUAAGGUAACGGCUUACCAAGGCAACGAUGCGUAGCCGACCUGAGAGGGUGAUCGGCCACAUUGGAACUGAGACACGGUCCAGACUCCUACGGGAGGCAGCAGUGGGGAAUAUUGCGCAAUGGGGGAAACCCUGACGCAGCAACGCCGCGUGGGUGAUGAAGGUCUUCGGAUUGUAAAGCCCUGUUUUCUAGGACGAUAAUGACGGUACUAGAGGAGGAAGCCACGGCUAACUACGUGCCAGCAGCCGCGGUAAUACGUAGGUGGCGAGCGUUGUCCGGAUUUACUGGGCGUAAAGGGUGCGUAGGCGGAUGUUUAAGUGGGAUGUGAAAUCCCCGGGCUUAACCUGGGGGCUGCAUUCCAAACUGGAUAUCUAGAGUGCAGGAGAGGAAAGCGGAAUUCCUAGUGUAGCGGUGAAAUGCGUAGAGAUUAGGAAGAACACCAGUGGCGAAGGCGGCUUUCUGGACUGUAACUGACGCUGAGGCACGAAAGCGUGGGUAGCAAACAGGAUUAGAUACCCUGGUAGUCCACGCCGUAAACGAUGGAUACUAGGUGUAGGGGGUAUCAACUCCCCCUGUGCCGCAGUUAACACAAUAAGUAUCCCGCCUGGGGAGUACGGUCGCAAGAUUAAAACUCAAAGGAAUUGACGGGGGCCCGCACAAGCAGCGGAGCAUGUGGUUUAAUUCGAAGCAACGCGAAGAACCUUACCUGGACUUGACAUCCCUUGCAUAGCCUAGAGAUAGGUGAAGCCCUUCGGGGCAAGGAGACAGGUGGUGCAUGGUUGUCGUCAGCUCGUGUCGUGAGAUGUUAGGUUAAGUCCUGCAACGAGCGCAACCCUUGUUAUUAGUUGCUACCAUUAAGUUGAGCACUCUAAUGAGACUGCCUGGGUAACCAGGAGGAAGGUGGGGAUGACGUCAAAUCAUCAUGCCCCUUAUGUCCAGGGCUACACACGUGCUACAAUGGUAGGUACAAUAAGACGCAAGACCGUGAGGUGGAGCAAAACUUAUAAAACCUAUCUCAGUUCGGAUUGUAGGCUGCAACUCGCCUACAUGAAGCUGGAGUUGCUAGUAAUCGCGAAUCAGAAUGUCGCGGUGAAUACGUUCCCGGGCCUUGUACACACCGCCCGUCACACCAUGAGAGCUGGUAACACCCGAAGUCCGUGAGGUAACCGUAAGGAACCAGCGGCCGAAGGUGGGAUUAGUGAUUGGGGUGAAGUCGUAACAAGGUAGCCGUAGGAGAACCUGCGGCUGGAUCACCUCCUUU
rnacentral:rRNA from 1 species